rnacentral:rRNA from 1 species
AUUGAACGCUGGCGGCAUGCCUUACACAUGCAAGUCGAACGGUAACAGGUCUUCGGGUGCUGACGAGUGGCGAACGGGUGAGUAAUACAUCGGAACGUGCCCGAUCGUGGGGGAUAACGAAGCGAAAGCUUUGCUAAUACCGCAUAAGAUCUACGGAUGAAAGCAGGGGACCGCAAGGCCUUGCGCGAACGGAGCGGCCGAUGGCAGAUUAGGUAGUUGGUGGGAUAAAAGCUUACCAAGCCGACGAUCUGUAGCUGGUCUGAGAGGACGACCAGCCACACUGGGACUGAGACACGGCCCAGACUCCUACGGGAGGCAGCAGUGGGGAAUUUUGGACAAUGGGCGAAAGCCUGAUCCAGCCAUGCCGCGUGCAGGAUGAAGGCCUUCGGGUUGUAAACUGCUUUUGUACGGAACGAAAAGACUCUUUCUAAUAAAGAGGGUCCAUGACGGUACCGUAAGAAUAAGCACCGGCUAACUACGUGCCAGCAGCCGCAGUAACAC